UACGUAGGGGGCAAGCGUUGUCCGGAUUUAUUGGGCGUAAAGAGCGUGUAGGCGGCUAGAUAGGUCCGUUGUGAAAACUCGAGGCUCAACCUCGAGACGCCGAUGGAAACCGCAUGGCUAGAGUCCGGAAGAGGAGAGUGGAAUUCCUGGUGUAGCGGUGAAAUGCGCAGAUAUCAGGAAGAACACCCGUGGCUAAGGCGGCUCUCUAGUACGGUACUGACGCUGAGACGCGAAAGCGUGGGGAGCGAACAGG
rnacentral:rRNA from 1 species